UNGCAAGCAGGGACCUGCCAGUGUU
rnacentral:piRNA from 1 species